GGCCACUUUACAAAAGAGGGAGGAAAUCAUACUUUCUUAGAUCAUUACACUGAACUUGCAGAAUGACUAAUCCAUACGUUCAAAGCCAUGGCUUUUAUUCCAAGGGAAACCUUAGUCUCUGCUCAAGAUCAGAGUUUAAGGCAGCCUAGGACCUCAACCUAGGGUUAAAGAGCUUGGUGUACCCUUCCCAGAGCCUGCUCUGAGAUGCUUCAGAAAGAAUCUAGAUUCUCUUCCUUGCUCUGAUGCUAAAUGUAUGGUUUUACACAAUCAGUAUCUUCAUAUCCAAAAUGGUGAGACAAUCAACACCCUCCUGGAUCUCAAAGAACUGCCAUAAUGACCAAAUAAGAAAAUGUGUAAGAAAAUGCUUGUAACUACAAAGUGCAAUUCAUAUAUAAGAGAUGAUGAUGAUGAUGGUGAUGGAGGACAUGGCUAAAAUCCACCAACUGGGUGCAGAUGGAUCUUGAUGCAACGUACUAGAAAAGAGUGGAUAAGAGUCACAGCUUGCUAUUUUCAGAUCUUUGCAAGAGAGAGUCAGGAGUAACUGAGUGGAAGACAAAGAAAAAACACUGUGAUGAGGAAGGCAUGGAAAGAAGACGAGUGAACAAUCUUCUCUGAAGGAGAGACCGUGUUGCAUCCUAACACUUUUUUCCUAACCGGUCUAAGGACAUCAGGACAAACCUCCCUAAGAAAUAACAGCUAAACUGAGACCUGAUGGAUCUGUAGACAGACGGCAGCAAGCUGACAGCCCUUCAGAAGCAAGAGCCUCUACAAGCUGAGAGAAGCGGAAAGAACAAGAUAGAUGCUGAUAUAGAAGCCAAGAUCCUGCACCCUUGGGCCACGUCCCGACGAAGAAACACUUCAGACGAAGUGCAUGUAAUAUGCAGGCUAGAAGAUAUGUGUGCAAAUGCAGAUGAAACUUACUGACCAAGGGACACCAGGAGGGACACGAAAACCUAGAGAACUAAGUGGGCAAGAUGCCCAGGCAGCGGACAGAAGACAGAGAUGAACAAAAUCCAAAGAGCCACCUGGGGAACAGAUGGGGACCGGGCACCAGAAUACUCUUCCCAAAUCAAAUGGAAAUCAGGAAGCCUGUCCAAAGAUUUGAGGGACAGGGAGAGUGAGCAACGCAGAGGGAAUCAUGACCAAUAAGCUCCUUUCCUGAAGAACGUGGCUAAAGCAGGUCCAGGCACAAUGGGGGUUCCUGUUAAAUGUUUAUAAUAUGUUCAACCAGUUCUAGUGGGAAAUCUCAAAGGAUACUACAAUUUUCAACCUUAAAAUACCCUUUUUCUUCAGUGGGUAUAUUUGUUUUUAAGAAGCCAAGUACAAUAAAAUAUUCAUCGUG
rnacentral:lncRNA from 1 species